AAGUCGUAACAAGGUUUCCGUAGGUGAACCUGCGGAAGGAUCAUUAUUGAAUAAACUUGGUUGGGCUGUUGCUGGCUUCUUGGAGCAUGUGCACGCCCAGCACCAAUUUUUUACCACCUGUGCACCUUUUGUGGACCUGGAUACCUCUCGAGGAAACUCGGUUGGAGGACUGCUGUGCGAAAGCCAGCUUUCCUUACAUUUCCGGUUCAUGUUUUCACAUACCCCAUAUGAAUGUAACAGAAUGUCGUUUACUGGCCUUUGUGCCUUUAAUCAAAUACAACUUUCAGCAACGGAUCUCUUGGCUCUC
rnacentral:misc_RNA from 1 species